rnacentral:lncRNA from 1 species
GUGGGCUAAAGGGGUUGUUUGAUGCUGAUUAGUUGGGUGAGUUGGCAUGAUCUAAGAGAGGGAGGGAGAAGAAUAAUAGAAGAGAGCUAGUCCUUAUUCACUAUUACCUCUUCUACUUCAUAUGAAAAUAUAGAUUUAUUACGACACUCUAUCCUAUUGCCAAUUAGAGGCUGCAAUUAGGUAGGAUCUGAUCAUAAAA